rnacentral:rRNA from 1 species
GAUGAACGCUGGCGGCGUGCCUAAUACAUGCAAGUCGAGCGAACGGACGAGAAGCUUGCUUCUCUGAUGUUAGCGGCGGACGGGUGAGUAACACGUGGAUAACCUACCUAUAAGACUGGGAUAACUUCGGGAAACCGUAGCUAAUACCGGAUAAUAUUUUGAACCGCAUGGUUCAAAAGUGAAAGACGGUCUUGCUGUCACUUAUAGAUGGAUCCGCGCUGCAUUAGCUGGUGGGUAAGGUAACGGCUAACCAAGGCAACGAUGCGUAGCCGACCUGAGAGGGUGAUCGGCCACACGGGAACUGAGACACGGUCCAGACUCCUACGGGAGGCAGCAGUGGGGAAUCUUCGACAAGGGGCGCAAGCCUGCGGCAGCAACGCCGCGUGAGUGAGGAAGGCCUUCGGAUCGUAAAGCUCUUUUGUUGGGAAAGAAAAGCUGGAGAUUAAUAUGCCGAUGUUUUGACGUUACCUAACAAAAAAGCCCCGGCUAACUACGUG